rfam:Hymenolepis nana genome assembly, scaffold: HNAJ_contig0008072
GCCUGGGUAGCGCAGUUGGUUAGCGCGUCAGUCUCAUAAUCUGAAGGUCGCGAGUUCGAGCCUCGCCCCGGGCA